rnacentral:lncRNA from 1 species
UCAUCGCUAAAGCAUUGCUGCACAUCUUCUCCACCCUUUUCUCCCCUUUCUCCAGUUCCUUACGGACUUUCUUGUCAGCGCCAUCGUGGGAGAAACCGUCUAGACAAGUUUCCUGGUUGGUAAUGGCGGAGCUCAUCAACGUCUUGAGGUCGAUGGCAUGCUGCUUGAUCGAUCCUUUCAAUUUAUACUCCUUGAGGUCUUUAACGACAUCGUGGAGCUCUUCCAACGUCUCCGAUACCAUCUCAAGACAGUCAUGAAGCGCCGUGACCUCGCGUUCAGUGAGAGUUUUCCGAGCGCUGAGCUUCUUUAUACGGAAGUAACUCUCCUCGACGGCGGUUAAUGUG